rnacentral:piRNA from 1 species
CACCUCAAGGAUCUGUCACGGAAGGCG